rnacentral:rRNA from 1 species
GAUUAACGCUGGCGGCGUGCAUAACACAUGCAAGUCGAACGAUGAAACUCAUUAGAUUUCUUCGGAAUGAAAAUGAAUGGAUUAGUGGCGAACGGGUGAGUAACGCGUGAGUAACCUGCCUUACACAAGGGGAUAGCCUCUGGAAACGGAGAAUAAUACCCUAUGAAACCAGACAAUCGCAUGAUAAUCUGGUCAAAAUGUUUAGUGGUGUAAGAUGGACUUGCGUCUGAUUAGCUAGUUGGUGAGAUAAAAGCUCACCAAGGCAACGAUCAGUAGCCGGCUUGAGAGAGUGUACGGCCACAUUGGGACUGAGACACGGCCCAGACUCCUACGGGAGGCAGCAGUGGGGAAUUUUGCACAAUGGGGGAAACCCUGAUGCAGCGACGCCGCGUGAUUUAGAGGGCCUUCGGGUUGUAAAAAUCUUUUGUAUAGGAAGAAAAUGACAGUACUAUACGAAUAAGGUCCGGCUAAUUACGUG